AGUGAGAAUGCCGGUGUGAGUAGCGAAAGACGGGUGAGAAUCCCGUCCACCGAUUGACUAAGGUUUCCAGAGGAAGGCUCGUCCGCUCUGGGUUAGUCGGGUCCUAAGCUGAGGCCGACAGGCGUAGGCGAUGGAUAACAGGUUGAUAUUCCUGUACCACCAUUAUUCGUUUUAAGCGAUGGGGGGACGCAGUAGGAUAGGCGAAGCGUGCUGUUGGAGUGCACGUCCAAGCAGUGAGAUUGAGUGUUAGGCAAAUCCGGCACUCUUAAGAUUGAGCUGUGAUGGGGAGAGGAACUUGUUCCUCGAGUCGUUGAUUUCACACUGCCGAGAAAAGCCUCUAGCUAGAAUAACGGUGCCCGUACCGCAAACCGACACAGGUAGUCAAGAUGAGAAUUCUAAGGUGAGCGAGCGAACUCUCGUUAAGGAACUCGGCAAAAUGACCCCGUAACUUCGGGAGAAGGGGUGCUCUUUGAGGUUCACGCUUCGAAGAGCCGCAGUGAAUAGGCCCAAGCGACUGUUUAUCAAAAACACAGGUCUCUGCUAAACCGUAAGGUGACGUAUAGGGGCUGACGCCUGCCCGGUGCUGGAAGGUUAAGAGGAGUGGUUAGCGCAAGCGAAGCUACGAAUCGAAGCCCCAGUAAACGGCGGCCGUAACUAUAACGGUCCUAAGGUAGCGAAAUUCCUUGUCGGGUAAGUUCCGACCCGCACGAAAGGCGUAACGAUUUGGGCACUGUCUCAACGAGAGACUCGGUGAAAUCAUAGUACCGGUGAAGAUGCCGGUUACCCGCGACAGGACGGAAAGACCCCGUGGAGCUUUACUGUAGCCUGAUAUUGAAAUUCGGUACAGUUUGUACAGGAUAGGUAGGAGCCUUAGAAGCGUGAGCGCUAGCUUACGUGGAGGCAUUGGUGGGAUACUACCCUAAUUGUAUUGGAUUUCUAACCCGCAGCACUUAUCGUGCUGGGAGACAGUGUCAGGCGGGCAGUUUGACUGGGGCGGUCGCCUCCUAAAGAGUAACGGAGGCGCUCAAAGGUUCCCUCAGAAUGGUUGGAAAUCAUUCAUAGAGUGUAAAGGCAUAAGGGAGCUUGACUGCGAGACCUACAAGUCGAGCAGGGUCGAAAGACGGACUUAGUGAUCCGGUGGUUCCGCAUGGAAGGGCCAUCGCUCAACGGAUAAAAGCUACCCCGGGGAUAACAGGCUUAUCUCCCCCAAGAGUUCACAUCGACGGGGAGGUUUGGCACCUCGAUGUCGGCUCAUCGCAUCCUGGGGCUGUAGUCGGUCCCAAGGGUUGGGCUGUUCGCCCAUUAAAGCGGUACGCGAGCUGGGUUCAGAACGUCGUGAGACAGUUCGGUCCCUAUCCGUCGUGGGCGUAGGAAAUUUGAGAGGAGCUGUCCUUAGUACGAGAGGACCGGGAUGGACAUACCUCUGGUGUACCAGUUGUCGUGCCAACGGCAUAGCUGGGUAGCUAUGUAUGGACGGGAUAAGUGCUGAAAGCAUCUAAGCAUGAAGCCCCCCUCGAGAUGAGAUUUCCCAACUUCGGUUAUAAGAUCCCUCAAAGAUGAUGAGGUGAAUAGGUUCGAGGUGGAAGCGUAGCGAUACGUGGAGCUGACGAAUACUA
rnacentral:rRNA from 1 species